GUGACAUGCAACACAUUUAAAAGAGUGUAAUUUCUAAUUGUUUUGGCCCACCUGACUGUUUAGAUGAUUGGGAUCAGGCCGUCAGGAGGAACAAGAGGGCGGAGACAAAGUCCUGUGUGGAGACAGGAAAUGAGGACAUAGGGAGGCGCAUCAUAGUCAAACCCCAAAAAUGUGAAAAGAGAACAAAGAAACGAAAUGGGAAAAAGGCAGGACAAGGUCCACAUUUCAGGACUUCCCUUCCUCCUCCACCCCAGAUAGAAUCCCCCAUUCCACGGCGUAGCGCACUACAAGUAUCUUCACCCCCUGUGACUGAUGACGAUUACUCCCCUCCUUCACCGGCAAGAGACGUUUUUACAGAAAAUGAUGGUAAAGUUAUGCAUGGUAAUGAUGACGAAUGAUGAUGACAUAACAGUAAUUCUAUGAGCCAAGACAACAAAGAGUUUGAAACCAAAAAAAAACAUUGAAUUAUUAUUUUGUACUUCCUGCAGAUGAUUCGAUUGCGUCUUCAUUUGAAACGCCAUUGCCUAUCUCUACUGGGGACGGUAAAGUGGCGGGUGGAGAGGGUGGUUAAAACCAAACUAGUAACUCUUAUCAACAGGUUAUGACAGUCAUCUGUCUAUACUAACCCUACACAUUAUGCUUUAUACACAUUACUUAGGUGACCGAAGGGAGAGAGAAACCAUACCAAUCUGGGCAAAGAAUAUUAACGGUAAUACAUGUAUUGAACUGUAUUGCACUGUAUGCAAAUGACACCAAAUACUACUAAAUACACUCCUCUCAUCUCAACAUAUAUUUUUUACAGCGACAUUGGAGGUUCUGCUCCGAAGGCUUGAGACUGUUGAGCAGAAUCAGAGAGAGGCUCUAUUAUUGCUACGGGCAAAUCGACAUGGGGACCCUGGGGAAGCUAGUGUCGAGUUACUGCAGGCGCAAACUCAGGCCGAACUACAGGAACUCGAGGAGCACCUUAAAAAUAGAGAAUGUACGAAUAAUGGUGAAGUGACUUUAGGCUAUAUUGUACACAUGCCACCAAGUGUGCCACAUGGCCCUGCCAUUGAGCUUUUUUCAUCUUUAGUUCCCUGUUGUUAGCUAAGUAGUUAGAGAUGAGCAGUCCAUCUUCAAAUACCUUAAUUUGGUUCACCCCCCUCAAAAGAAAACACCACCAACACCACAUGAAAAAUACAAUGCAAAUACUUGCCUUAACCAUGGUUGUUUGAUUUCCUUAGAUUUCCCAUCUGAGCCUAGUUGGGGGGUCCAAUCCUGGGGAGUGUGUGAGGAGGGUGUUGCGCUCUGUGGCCUCAAACUUUGUUUGGAGCAGCUACAGCCUUAGGGGAAAGAAGGGGAAGAUGCCACUGCUUGGCACAGCAGUGGGCAGUACCAUCAAACGUAAGUCUAAAUAUGUGCAAACAAAUCUAUUUAGCUGUUUCAGCUAUUUUUCUACACCUUUUAGCUGAUGUGAUCCGUUUCUUCCAAAGACUCCUCAUUUAGGGAUGGACAUGAUUAAUCGACGAUCGACUAAUUGAUCAUUAAGAAUUUCGUCGAUGACGUACAUUUUUCAUCGAUAAAACUAAUGCUAAAAAAUAUCUUCACACGGUGUGUCUUUUUACAAUUACCAUUCGUAUUGUUGUUCAGCAGAGAAAUACAGACGGACCAAUUGCGAACUACUGCAACUGCUGAUGCCAUCUCUCCA
ensembl:lncRNA